CAACCCUCGAGCCCCCCCGGGGGGUCGGCGUUGGGGACUUCGGGAGCCCCUGAGACGGGAUCCCGGCCCCGAAAUACAGUGGCGGUCUCGCCGCGGCCUCCCCCUGCGCAGUAGUUUUGCACAGCUCGCACCGGGAGCGCGGCGCGCCCACGCCCGUAAAACACCCAACUUCUGAAAUG
rnacentral:misc_RNA from 1 species